AACGUGGGGCAACCCUGCCCUAAAGUGGGGGACAACACGCCGAAAGGUGUGCUAAUACCGCAUGUGGACUAGUAUGGCAUCAUAUGAAGUCCAAAGGAUUUAUUCGCUUUAGGAUGGGCCCGCGGCCUAUCAGCUAGUUGGUGAGGUAACGGCUCACCAAGGCUUCGACGGGUAGCUGGUCUGAGAGGACGAUCAGCCGGAUUGGGACUGAGAUACGGCCCAG
rnacentral:rRNA from 1 species